ACCCGAAUGGCGGAACUGGUAGACGCGCUAGUUUCAGGGACUAGUGUCCGAAAGGAUAUGCAGGUUCGAGUCCUGUUUCGGGUA
rnacentral:tRNA from 1 species